rnacentral:rRNA from 1 species
UCAAGUCAUCAUGGCCCUUAUGUCCAGGGCUACACACGUGCUACAAUGGGCGGUACAAAGCGGAGCGAAGCCGUGAGGCACAAGCAAAUCGCUGAAAGCCGCCCGUAGUUCGGACUGAAGUCUGAAACCCGACUUCAUGAAGUUGGAAUCGCUAGUAAUCGCGCAUCAGCAUGGCCGCGGUCGAAUACGUUCCGGGCCUU